UGAAAUUGAACUCGCUGUGAAGAUGCAGUGUACCCGCGGCAAGACGGAAAGACCCCGUGAACCUUUACUAUAGCUUGACACUGAACAUUGAGCCUUGAUGUGUAGGAUAGGUGGGAGGCUUUGAAGUGUGGACGCCAGUCUGCAUGGAGCCGACCUUGAAAUACCACCCUUUAAUGUUUGAUGUUCUAACGUUGACCCGUAAUCCGGGUUGCGGACAGUGUCUGGUGGGUAGUUUGACUGGGGCGGUCUCCUCCUAAAGAGUAACGGAGGAGCACGAAGGUUGGCUAAUCCUGGUCGGACAUCAGGAGGUUAGUGCAAUGGCAUAAGCCAGCUUGACUGCGAGCGUGACGGCGCGAGCAGGUGCGAAAGCAGGUCAUAGUGAUCCGGUGGUUCUGAAUGGAAGGGCCAUCGCUCAACGGAUAAAAGGUACUCCGGGGAUAACAGGCUGAUACCGCCCAAGAGUUCAUAUCGACGGCGGUGUUUGGCACCUCGAUGUCGGCUCAUCACAUCCUGGGGCUGAAGUAGGUCCCAAGGGUAUGGCUGUUCGCCAUUUAAAGUGGUACGCGAGCUGGGUUUAGAACGUCGUGAGACAGUUCGGUCCCUAUCUGCCGUGGGCGCUGGAGAACUGAGGGGGGCUGCUCCUAGUACGAGAGGACCGGAGUGGACGCAUCACUGGUGUUCGGGUUGUCAUGCCAAUGGCACUGCCCGGUAGCUAAAUGCGGAAGAGAUAAGUGCUGAAAGCAUCUAAGCACGAAACUUGCC
rnacentral:rRNA from 1 species